rnacentral:tRNA from 1 species
GGGGGCAUAGCUCAGGGGUAGAGCGCUCGCUUUGCAUGCGAGAAGUCAGGGGUUCGAUUCCCCAUACAUCCA